CAUGGAUUGGUGGGGUCCCUCAGCCUGGCCUGUGCCCUCUCACAACCCAGGACCCCUCAGGGGAUGUUGGACUGCUGGUUUCUGCCCAAUCCCUGCAGGCCAGGCCGAGGGACCCCACUGUUGCACG
rnacentral:pre_miRNA from 1 species